UCAUGAUUUACAUUUGAGUGAGUGGCGAACUGGUGAGUAACACGUGGGAAACCUGCCCAGAAGCGGGGGAUAACACCUGGAAACAGAUGCUAAUACCGCAUAACAACUUGGACCGCAUGGUCCGAGUUUGAAAGAUGGCUUCGGCUAUCACUUUUGGAUGGUCCCGCGGCGUAUUAGCUAGAUGGUGGGGUAACGGCUCACCAUGGCAAUGAUACGUAGCCGACCUGAGAGGGUAAUCGGCCACAUUGGGACUGAGACACGGCCCAAACUCC
rnacentral:rRNA from 1 species